AACUAGACUCUCCUCCCAGCUACAGCAAGAUAAUAGCUGCUGGCUACAGCUGGGAAUUCUCGAAUUCUUUCAAACUGGAGACUAGGAACGAGAGGUGAAGAAAAGUUCUUCUGAGGUCCAAAGAGGAAAAUGGGGCCCAGCGGUGUCAUCUGAAUGCUUCCAGCGGGACCCGAAAGCACAGAACCAUGAACUGUAGAAAGUGAACGCUGGCUCACUCAGCACAUCCUUUUGUGUUUCUCGACUGAUUGUUUCUCUUUGUCUCUUCCAGCUGAAGAGUAAGCAUGAGUCAUCGGCCUGACUUCUAACCGAGGAAGGGAACCGAGGAAGGGA
rnacentral:lncRNA from 1 species